UGAAACCAACAACGAAUGUGUCAGGAGGCGUCUUGAAGUUAUUUAUGACAAGAUAGGCUAAUGUUUAAAGAGCAAUCCAACAUGAGUGAAGAGAGCAAAUCAUUUGCGAAGAAGUCUUUCCAUGCUCUAAGACGUUCUAAUAUUACAGCAAUAAACAAAGUGGCAUGCUUAUA